CAAUAGCGUAUAUUAAAGUUGUUGCAGUUAAAAAGCUCGUAGUUGGAUUUCUGGUAGGAGUGACCGUUCCGAACUUGAUUGUUCGUGUAUUGUGUUUUCUCCAGCCAUCCUUGUGGAGAACUUUUCUUGCAUUAAUUUGUAGGGAUUGGGACCCGCAUCGUUUACUGUGAAAAAAUUAGAGUGUUUAAAGCAGGCAAUCGCUUGAAUACAUUAGCAUGGAAUAAUAAGAUAGGACUUUGGUACUAUUUUGUUGGUUUGCAUACCAAAUUAAUGAUCAACAGGAACAGUUUGAGGAUAUUCGUAGGAACAUGUCAGAGGUGAAAUUCUUGGAUUUUGAUCAGACGAACUACUGCGAAAGCAUUUAUCAAGGAUGUUUUCAUUAA
rnacentral:rRNA from 1 species